UCUCUCCUUCUUGUGUCGAAUACACCUGAGGCAGAGGACAGACAAGCAUCAUUGGCGCCAACUUCCUCUCUCUCCUAUAUUGGCACUGUGUGUGUGUGUGUGUGUCUGGGCGGGUGUGGCACUGCUUCUCCUCCUCUAUCUCUUGUUGUAUCAAUACUUUGUUUACGGUUUCUUUUUGUUUUUGUUUGUUGCUUCCACCACCGCCACCACCGGCACCACCACCAUCAUCGCCACCGACACCGCCACCACCACCACCGCCACCACCGGCACCACCACCAUCAUCGCCACCGCCACCGCCAUCACAAGCAAAGAUACAUAAGGAUGAUAGUUGCGCAAAACGCAAGGGCAGAAACACAAUACUACUUCGUCUAGCGUUGCUGCACAGCUUCGUGCUGUUUCUUUCUCGUAUACCUCUCUCGCGAUCUCGCUCCCCUUCUUUCACGGCUCUCCUCCACUGUACCCCUGUGCGUGGACCGUCUCUUCUUGAUCAUCUUCUCCCCUCCCACUUCCACACCCACCCCACCCCUCCAUACACACGCACACGCACACUUUUCUACCUAAG
rnacentral:misc_RNA from 1 species